rnacentral:rRNA from 1 species
GAACGCUAGCGGCAGGCUUAACACAUGCAAGUCGAGGGGCAGCAUGACACGGAGAUUCGUCGAAGUGUUGAUGGCGACCGGCGCAAGGGUGCGUAACGCGUGAGCAACUUGCCCGUUUCUGGGGAAUAACCGGUGGAAACGCCGACUAAUACCCCAUAGCAUAUUCGAGAGGCAUCUCUUGGAUAUUAAAGAAAUUCGGAAACGGAUAGGCUCGCGUGACAUUAGCUGGAUGGCGGGUAACGGCCCACCAAGCCGACGAUGUCUAGGGGUUCUGAGAGGAAGGUCCCCCACACUGGUACUGAGACACGGACCAGACUCCUACGGGAGGCAGCAGUGAGGAAUAUUGGUCAAUGGUCGAGAGACUGAACCAGCCAAGUAGCGUGAAGGAUGACUGCCCUACGGGUUGUAAACUUCUUUUGUUUGGGAAUAAAUGAUACUACGUGUAGUAUUUUGCAUGUACCUUACGAAUAAGCAUCGGCUAAUUCCGUG